rnacentral:rRNA from 1 species
AGAGUUUGAUCAUGGCUCAGAUUGAACGCUGGCGGCAGGCCUAACACAUGCAAGUCGAGCGGUAGCACAGAGAGCUUGCUCUCGGGUGACGAGCGGCGGACGGGUGAGUAAUGUCUGGGAAACUGCCUGAUGGAGGGGGAUAACUACUGGAAACGGUAGCUAAUACCGCAUAAUGUCGCAAGACCAAAGUGGGGGACCUUCGGGCCUCAUGCCAUCAGAUGUGCCCAGAUGGGAUUAGCUAGUAGGUGGGGUAACGGCUCACCUAGGCGACGAUCCCUAGCUGGUCUGAGAGGAUGACCAGCCACACUGGAACUGAGACACGGUCCAGACUCCUACGGGAGGCAGCAGUGGGGAAUAUUGCACAAUGGGCGCAAGCCUGAUGCAGCCAUGCCGCGUGUGUGAAGAAGGCCUUCGGGUUGUAAAGCACUUUCAGCGGGGAGGAAGGCGUUAAGGUUAAUAACCUUGGCGAUUGACGUUACCCGCAGAAGAAGCACCGGCUAACUCCGUGCCAGCAGCCGCGGUAAUACGGAGGGUGCAAGCGUUAAUCGGAAUUACUGGGCGUAAAGCGCACGCAGGCGGUCUGUCAAGUCGGAUGUGAAAUCCCCGGGCUCAACCUGGGAACUGCAUUCGAAACUGGCAGGCUAGAGUCUUGUAGAGGGGGGUAGAAUUCCAGGUGUAGCGGUGAAAUGCGUAGAGAUCUGGAGGAAUACCGGUGGCGAAGGCGACCCCCUGGACAAAGACUGACGCUCAGGUGCGAAAGCGUGGGGAGCAAACAGGAUUAGAUACCCUGGUAGUCCACGCCGUAAACGAUGUCGAUUUGGAGGUUGUGCCCUUGAGGCGUGGCUUCCGGAGCUAACGCGUUAAAUCGACCGCCUGGGGAGUACGGCCGCAAGGUUAAAACUCAAAUGAAUUGACGGGGGCCCGCACAAGCGGUGGAGCAUGUGGUUUAAUUCGAUGCAACGCGAAGAACCUUACCUGGUCUUGACAUCCACAGAACUUUCCAGAGAUGGAUUGGUGCCUUCGGGAACUGUGAGACAGGUGCUGCAUGGCUGUCGUCAGCUCGUGUUGUGAAAUGUUGGGUUAAGUCCCGCAACGAGCGCAACCCUUAUCCUUUGUUGCCAGCGGUUCGGCCGGGAACUCAAAGGAGACUGCCAGUGAUAAACUGGAGGAAGGUGGGGAUGACGUCAAGUCAUCAUGGCCCUUACGACCAGGGCUACACACGUGCUACAAUGGCAUAUACAAAGAGAAGCGACCUCGCGAGAGCAAGCGGACCUCAUAAAGUAUGUCGUAGUCCGGAUUGGAGUCUGCAACUCGACUCCAUGAAGUCGGAAUCGCUAGUAAUCGUAGAUCAGAAUGCUACGGUGAAUACGUUCCCGGGCCUUGUACACACCGCCCGUCACACCAUGGGAGUGGGUUGCAAAAGAAGUAGGUAGCUUAACCUUCGGGAGGGCGCUUACCACUUUGUGAUUCAUGACUGGGGUGAAGUCGUAACAAGGUAACCGUAGGGGAACCUGCGGUUGGAUCACCU